ACAUUCGUAAGCUAUAUCCCAGGAUCCAGACUAAUAUCCAGCCACUUUUCCUAGUCAAAUCCUCUCCCAUUCCUACAUCUUUAAUUUACAUUCACUUUCUCUGGUUUCUUCUUAACAUUUCUCUACCACAAAACACUGAAAGACUCAAUGGAUCCUUUGAAAGUGGGUUUAUAAAUAUGUAUCCAUUCUAACAUGUCUCAGAAAGCAGUAGCAAGAAGUGGGGUAAGACAUUGGAUUCUCUUUUAUUGUGAGCUCAGGAACUGCUAUUAGACUUCUGUUCACAGUUUGUAUUUUUUCCUCUAAUCUUUCUUGUCCUUGUCAGUGAUGGGUCCCAGCUUUCUUAUCUCUGCUUGCCUAUUCUUUGCAAAAUGUUUUCAUUAAACUAGGAUUGCGCCUACUUUAAAAAAAAAACAAUGCAGUUCUAUGAUGGGGAGGGAGGAGGAUGGAGAGAAAAGCCUUAGGUUUGAACUGUUUUUCUAAAACCAGUUAGAUGACAGCUUCAUUGUUGUUGUUUUUUUUAUGGUCAUACAUACAGAGUAGCAAUACAAGCAGCAAUACACAAGAGACCCAUCUGAAAGGAAAAACAAUGAAUGAACGACACCCAAGGCUUCAAGCCGUGUGCAAAUUGAACAGGAUGAGAAGCAUUGGAAAAUAAAAAGAUGAGUCAGAAAAGCAGCCUGGACUCUAACCUCAUCAUGAACUGGAAUGAAAGCUAAAAAAACAAAAACAAAACAAAACCUGAAGCCCCGUUUGCAUACUUAGCAUGAAAGCAAAAGGGUUGAAAUAGCUCUUGCAGGAUAGAGAGGCAAAGGCAUGGAUGUGAGCCAAAUAGGCAAUGCUUCAUGAUAGGAGAGAUUAUUGUAGCAAAAGAUUAUUUCAAUUCCCUUAAAGGGAGUCACGUUCAUUAAUUUAAAAAAUAAACAUGAUAUUUAUUAUGAAGCAACAUUCAUUUACAUAUAUAAAUUUUACAGAGAAAAAUGGGUGAGGCAAAAAAAGAGUUGCUGCACCAAAUGUUUUGUAUUUUUUAAAAUGGUUAUUCUAUUGGCAAUAAUAAAUUGAUAGUUAUGGAGAGAUAUAAAAAGUACUACAUGAUUUGUAAAAAGCAGCACUUGUAUGCAAUCUGUAAUAAAUGCAAUAUUGUAAUUUGGGCCAUAGGAACUUCUCCUGGGAAAUUUUAUUCGUCUUGUCGAAAAUCUUAUCGCUUUCCUUGAAAUAAUUCAGUCAUUUUGAUCCAGAGGGAGUCCUUAAGUUGUUUAUAAUUCUGCUUUAGGAAUGUGAUGGUAACUUGGGAAGUGUAGAACACACCUGAGAAAUUAUAAGUUUUGUUGAAAUUCUUCUCUCAAAAUUCCUAAAAUGGGUAGCAUUUCCCUAUAGUCUUAAUUCAGUGGUAAAUAUCCUGUUAGCUGCAUCUAUUUACUCAUUAAAUGGAAGUGGUUGUGAAUGAUUAACCAUUAUGUGCAAUAGGAUUGACUCAUGGAAGUUGAUGCCUUCUAUGUCAGCUGAGCUAUAAAUCCACUUCAGGCUCCAACUAUUUGGAAAACUGUAUCUGUCCGUAUGUGUUUGCCUGUGUUCCAAGAUCCGGAAAUGGGGAGGAUACAAGAGAAAACCUUUUUGUGGCUACUUCUAAAUUGUGGAACUCCUUUCCCUGAAAGGGCCAAUUGGACCUCUCCCUGCUGUCUUUCCACUGGCAGAUAAAGAAACUAAUUUCAUGACUGAAUAGAGGAAAGCCUUCAACAAGCUAUGGAAAUGAACAAUAAUACAGAACCAGCUCCUUCCUGUUUGUUGAUCUUCAGGCUCACAUUACAGGCUAUUUCCUCGGGCAGCAAGAUCCAUAUCCAGAAAACAAAUGAUUUAGUACAAGACCAGAUUUCACCACUUUCAAACUGUAAGAGAGAAGCUGAAGGAACCGAAUUCUAAAGUUAAAGUCCUCAAACUAUCCUGCUGUCUUCACCUCGUAAAAACCAGUUCAAUGUUAUUAGAUUAUCAAUGUCAGCAGAACCACUACUUUUCCAAAAUAAAUAAAUAAAUAAAAUCUGGAAUGAUUUAGUUCUGGUUGGCCUCCCUGUAAUUUGAUGUAGAGGGCAUGAGAAAUAUCACAAUCUUUUUAAAGCAUUGCCAAGUGACUGUGUGCAAAUAACUUCCACUGGGAGCAGUUGCCCUAUCCACUUCUCUCUCCAACACACUGUACUGAGCAACUGCUUGAGUGCUUGUUCUGGUUGGAAGCAGCAUGUUAUGCCAUGAAAAAAAUAAACUUUGCAAGUCUA